GCAUGGCUCUGGAUUUAUGGUGGGUCUGAUUCCAUGGCUCUUUCCAUAGUGUACCCCAUGCUAAAGCAAUCUGCUACCCCGAACCAUUGGCUAGUCUGGCUUGUUACAGCCCUAGCUACUGAAGUGGGUGGCACAUGC